GAGGGUUUAGCUUAAUUAAAGUAGUUGAUUUGCGUUCAGCUGAUGUAAGAUAAAUUCUUGCAACCCUUA
rnacentral:tRNA from 1 species